GAUGAACGCUGGCGGCGUGCCUAAUACAUGCAAGUCGAGCGAACAGACGAGGAGCUUGCUCCUCUGACGUUAGCGGCGGACGGGUGAGUAACACGUGGAUAACCUACCUAUAAGACUGGGAUAACUUCGGGAAACCGGAGCUAAUACCGGAUAAUAUAUUGAACCGCAUGGUUCAAUAGUGAAAGACGGUUUUGCUGUCACUUAUAGAUGGAUCCGCGCCGCAUUAGCUAGUUGGUAAGGUAACGGCUUACCAAGGCAACGAUGCGUAGCCGACCUGAGAGGGUGAUCGGCCACACUGGAACUGAGACACGGUCCAGACUCCUACGGGAGGCAGCAGUAGGGAAUCUUCCGCAAUGGGCGAAAGCCUGACGGAGCAACGCCGCGUGAGUGAUGAAGGUCUUCGGAUCGUAAAACUCUGUUAUUAGGGAAGAACAAAUGUGUAAGUAACGAUGCACGUCUUGACGGUACCUAAUCAGAAAGCCACGGCUAACUACGUG
rnacentral:rRNA from 1 species